UAACGCGUGGAUAACCUGCCUCACACAGGGGGACAACAGCUGGAAACGGCUGCUAAUACCGCAUAACACAAGUAAUUCGCAUGAAUAACUUGCCAAAGAUUUUAUCGGUGUGAGAUGGAUCCGCGUCUGAUUAGCCAGUUGGCGGGGUAACGGCCCACCAAAGCGACGAUCAGUAGCCGACCUGAGAGGGUGACCGGCCACAUUGGGACUGAGACACGGCCCAA
rnacentral:rRNA from 1 species